CGUAGGUGGCAAGCGUUAUCCGGAAUUAUUGGGCGUAAAGAGCGCGCAGGUGGUUGAUUAAGUCUGAUGUGAAAGCCCACGGCUUAACCGUGGAGGGUCAUUGGAAACUGGUCGACUUGAGUGCAGAAGAGGGAAGUGGAAUUCCAUGUGUAGCGGUGAAAUGCGUAGAGAUAUGGAGGAACACCAGUGGCGAAGGCGGCUUCCUGGUCUGUAACUGACACUGAGGCGCGAAAGCGUGGGGAUCAAACAGGAUUAGAUA
rnacentral:rRNA from 1 species